GGCAGAACUUGAUUUUUGUGAUCAUUCAAUUUAUCCAUCUCCCAUUUCAAAGAGUCACACACCUUCAUUUGUGAGAGGUGACACAAAGUACAAGACUCUGCCUUUGCAUGAUAACAUCAGUGAAUGCUGGAACUAUCCCACAAUGGGCAGCCUUCAGGGACAUGAGAUGCAGAGUGGGCAGCAGUGCAGUGUGACCCAUGUCCCCAGCAGCUGAGACCAGGACUGACUUGGUGCUUCCAGAUUUAGCAUUCUGAUCUGGCGUCCACACAUCCUGGUCCCCUUCAUCAUCCUUAAUUCCCUGCAUCUUAUUAAUUGCAUGAGUGACGCCUGGGUGCAGGAUUAAAUACAUCCAAUUGGUGUGAAGUGAAAACACCAUUCUAUAAUUAUCAUAGGAGCAUUUAUCGCCUCUUUGUCAGCAAAGCCUUUUCAGUUUAUUUAACUAAUUGGACAGGCAGGCAGACCAGAUCUUUGGUUGUUUGGCUGCAUAAAUCUCACUGUGAUUCCAAGUUGGGGACAGCAGAUGGUGGUCGAUUUUGAGCCUGCCUGCUUUUCAGAUUGUGCACUUGGUAAAGAUCAGGGCUUAAGUAGGAUAAAGUACUCGGCUUUGUUAUGCUAAUGGCACAGGACACUUGCAAUAAACAUUCAUUAUUUAGGGUUAAAUAAAGCUGAUCCUUCCAGCAUUUUAGUGACUAACAAAAUACAGUGGAAAAUUAUACCUUUCUUUAUCAACUAUGGCUGCUCCCCCAGCAUGCGCGCAUGCGCGCGCGCGCGCGCGCGCGCGCGUCUACACACACACACACACACACACACAAGAUACACAGAAGCACACAGGCAUGGAAAGACAUACAGUUACACCACCUGUUACAUAUGAAAAACCUGAAGGCACUGUUUCUUGGUUUAGGAAAAGCCCAUGAGCAAAAAUUGUUAGGUCGGUGGUGGCGACUUGGUGGCAACUUAGUGACAACUUAGAACAAAGCAGCCCACUCGGGAAAAGAACAUCAAUCAGGUGCCAGCGGAAACGCCUGUCAAUCAGCCAGAUCUCCUAACUAACGCCUGUCAAUCAGCAGGACCCCCUGGCUAAUCCUGGAGUUCAGCCAACUCCCCUGACCAACUCCAGCAGGAUAAGGGACCCUAAAAACACCUUUUCCUGUCCCAAGUCCUUCCCUUCCUGCAGUAAGCCCCAUAAAAGUCCAGUCUGUCGAGCUUCCACGUGGUUUCUCCUCAGACCCUUCCCCUGUCCCCUCUGUGGGUCUGAUCGAGUUCCGCCUGGGAGUGAGAUCCCAAUAAACCUGUUCAGCGGCCCUUUUAAAUCUGCCUCCUUUGAUCCCACCUCGCCUGAUCUGACAAAAAUGUCAUCUUUUCAUGGCGACUUCUUGGUGAGUAUGGUAUGUAUCUUCUAAGCAAAACCAUUCAAAUGGUAGAUAUACCUUUCAAACUUGAUGCAUUUUUCAAAAAAGAUCAACUUACACAGUUAUGUCCACUGCACAAUGUAAAGCACAUCUGUAUUGUCAUCAGAUGACAUGUAGAUUAGAUUAUGGGACUCGAGUAUUUUGUGCAUUCCAUGGCAUUUGACAGGCAUCCAAUGAACAUAUUGAGUGUUUGGCCAAUUUUUAAAUUUAUUCAGCAAAAAGAGAAAGAGGUAGCACAGAAAGUAAACAUAGUACAAAAAAAGUCCCAGUUCAGCCUUUCCUGAAUUUUAUUUUGAUUUACAGGUGCUUAAAAAGAGAACGAAUGGGUUCACCCUUCAUAGCCUCUUUAUGUUCUCGGGCUGAUCCUUUUCAGAGGAAACAAUGGUCACCGGUAAAAAAGUGAAGAAAGAGGCAAAAAGAGGGAAAUUCUGAUAACCCUCAAGACCAGCAAUCAUUCCUAGGAAGUUAGAAUGGACAGAGGACCUAGCAGGGCUGCUCAGCACAGUGCUGUCCCUUUUUGAGUCUCCAGGUUAUUCACAUUUGCAAUUCACUACAAGCUGGGGACCCUAGUUGUUGAGGUUUUGUUACAUUUUGUUGAGGUUUAUCAUCAUUGACUUGGAUGUUUAUAUUUCUCCUAUGGUUGGAAUUGGUCCAUAGCCUUCAACUGAGUUGAAAGAAGAAAUGGAAGGAAGAAAGGAAGGAAGGAAGGGAAGAAGAAAGGAAGGGAG
rnacentral:lncRNA from 1 species